CGGGGCGUAGCGCAGCCCGGUAGCGCACUUGCAUGGGGUGCAAGGGGUCGCAGGUUCAAAUCCUGUCGCCCCGACGA
rnacentral:tRNA from 1 species